CAAUGAUGCUGGAGAAAUCACACUGGUUCCUAUUUCCAUGAAUACAACUCAGGACUCCACAGCUGAGAGCCUUGUAUCACUAACUGCACAGUCAUUAAUUGGUGCUUCUCCAAAACAGACCCAUCUGACUAAAACGCAAGACGCUCCUCUGACCGGAAUAAGCAAACCAAAGAGAACUGGGUCCUUAGCACUGUUUUAUAGAAAGGUCUAUCAUUUGGCAAGUGUACGCUUACGUGAUUUAUGUUUAAAACUUGAUGUUUCGAAUGAGUUACGAAGGAAGAUCUGGACAUGUUUUGAAUUCACUUUAGUUCACUGCCCUGAUUUAAUGAAAGAUAGGCAUUUGGAUCAGCUCCUUCUGUGUGCCUUUUACAUCAUGGCCAAAGUAACAAAAGAAGAAAGAACUUUUCAAGAAAUAAUGAAAAGUUACAGAAAUCAGCCACAAGCUAAUAGUCACGUAUACAGGAGUGUUCUCUUGAAAAGUAUUCCAGGAGAAGUUGUGGCAUACAAUGGUGACUAUGAGAUGACUGAUGGUGACAUAGAAGAUGCCACAAAAACUCCCAACUGUUCCAGUGAACCAGUGAAAGAGGAAAGAGGUGAUCUUAUCAAAUUCUACAAUGCGAUAUAUGUAGGAAGAGUGAAGUCAUUUGCAUUGAAGUAUGAUUUGUCCAAUCAGGACCAUAUAAUGGAUGCUCCACCGCUCUCUCCUUUCCCACAUAUUAAGCAGCAGCCGGGCUCCCCACGCCGCAUUUCUCAGCAGCAUUCCAUUUAUGUCUCUCCGCACAAGAACGCAUCAGGCCUCACCCCCAGGAGCGCACUACUCUACAAGUUCAACGGCAGCCCCUCUAAGCAUCAAAAGUAAGCUCCUUUUUAAAAGCAUUUAUUCACCCUGUAUAUCUGACAGACAG
rnacentral:lncRNA from 1 species